GGCGAAUCGGGAGAGCGAGAAGAAGGUUCAGCCCUAAGCUCAGGAGCACCGAGAUGCAUGACAAUUACCAGAGGUUAGCACUACGUUAAACAAAUUCAACAGAAUUCCUUCGUUCGUUUGUAUCCAGAAGGGCGUCUGCCACGCACCCUCUUCAGUGAGCAGGAUAAACAUCUACCCCGCUCCCAGCAGAUGUCCCAGCACAGAGUCCGCACAUCUGGGAAACAUUGCUGGCUAAAGCAUCAUUCCAGCUGUGAGCUGCUGGCAGGAGUUCCCACUACUCAGGCUUUUGGUAUUUAUUGGGAGAGCCCUGCAGAAAGGCGCAAGGAUGCAAGGAUGCCCAGAAGGAGGCCGGGACAACACUGUGGAGUUUCACAGCUGGGCUCCCUGCUGCACGGCUGGCAUCGUAUUUUGGCAGCUGGCCUUAGGUUCUGAUGCAGAUGGAACAGCUAAGGCCCAGACCCCCGUUACUGCAAGACUUCCAGAUUCUUCCAGUGUCCGGCUUCUAUGUUGAUGAGAAUUCAUGAGUCCAUUUUGUCUCCAAAACUUUCAAAGUGUGGUCGAAGCAAUAAUUCUCAGUCAUGAGUAUGAUGAGCUUCAUUUAAAGCGACUGUCACUGGGCCUGGGCAGAAGACGUCUAAAUCCUGGACUAGGCUGAGCUACAUCGUGAGGCCUCAUCUCUAAGAAACAACAACACAAUACUAUCAAUAUAGAUUAAAUGGGUCUGACUAACACUGGGAGAAAAUGAUAUGGUUAAGUUAAAAAAAUAAUUUCAUUAUAUAACAGCUAUGGGAAGAGAAUUAAAAUUGGGUUCUCUUGAGCAGUUAA